UUAAGAAAAGUAACUUUAAUUCAUUCUUUUCCUAUUUCGUUUUAAAUAUUUCUAUUGGCUUUUUUUUCUUUUUGGCUUUUUUUCUUUUUCUUUUAACCGUUUUGAGUGAUGAUUCUAUACGUAGAAA
rnacentral:ribozyme from 14 species